rnacentral:rRNA from 1 species
UACGUAGGGGGCUAGCGUUGCUCGGAAUUACUGGGCGUAAAGGGCGCGUAGGCGGCCUGUUAAGUCGAACGUGAAAUCCCCGGGCUCAACCCGGGAACUGCGUCCGAUACUGGCAGGCUUGAAUCCGGGAGAGGGAUGCGGAAUUCCAGGUGUAGCGGUGAAAUGCGUAGAUAUCUGGAGGAACACCGGUGGCGAAGGCGGCAUCCUGGACCGGUAUUGACGCUGAGGCGCGAAAGCCAGGGGAGCAAACGGG